AAAUAAAUGUAUUCAUUUUGUUUAUUAAUCAAUUUGAUGAAGAGGUGAAGGAUUUUUUCUGAUAGACUGUGGUGCUGAAAAUUUUAAUCCAUUUAACAAAGGUUAUAAUGAAAUACUCAUCAUUGGGUUGCAAGUAUUUUGAAGAAUCUUCAUUAACACUAACAUCUAUCAGAUUUGAUUCCUUUCACCCUUUAAUAUUUUUUCUUGAAGUUCUGUGUAUAUUAAUAAUAAUAUAAUAACCAAAUAAAAUUUGAACUAACACU
rnacentral:misc_RNA from 1 species